rnacentral:rRNA from 1 species
GUAAGGAAUAUUGGUCAAUGGAGGAAACUCUGAACCAGCCAUCCCGCGUGAAGGAUGAAGGGGCUCUGCCUUGUAAACUUCUUUUGUCUGGGGCGAAAAAGCCUGAUUUAUCAGGAACUGACGGUACCAGAAGAAUAAGCACCGGCUAACUCCGUGCCAGCAGCCGCGGUAAUACGGAGGGUGCAAGCGUUAUCCGGAAUCACUGGGUUUAAAGGGUGCGUAGGCGGCUUAGUAAGUCAGUGGUGAAAGGCUGUGGCUUAACCAUGGAAUUGCCAUUGAUACUGCGGAGCUUGAAUGAGGUUGAGGUUGGCGGAAUGUGACAUGUAGCGGUGAAAUGCUUAGAUAUGUCAUGGAACACCGAUUGCGAAGGCAGCUGACUGGACCUAAAUUGACGCUGAGGCACGAAAGCGUGGGGAGCGAACAGGAUUAGAAACCCGAGUAGUCC